rnacentral:rRNA from 1 species
UACGUAGGGUGCGAGCGCUGUCCGGAAUUAUUGGGCGUAAAGGGCUCGUAGGCGGUUUGUCGCGUCGGGAGUGAAAUCCACUGGCUUAACUGGUGGCUUGCUUUCGAUACGGGCAGACUAGAGGUAUGCAGGGGAGAACGGAAUUCCUGGUGUAGCGGUGAAAUGCGCAGAUAUCAGGAGGAACACCGGUGGCGAAGGCGGGUCUCUGGGCCGUAACUGACGCUGAGGAGCGAAAGCGUGGGGAGCGAACAGG